UAGAUCGUCCUAUUGAUUUAUGUGCAUAUGAGGAGCAGUAGUCAAUGAAUAAUUUUGUGAUGAGAGCAGUACAUUGUAUUACAACAAAUGGACAGAGGAGUUGACUAUUGAUAGUGAUUGAUAAUGGACUGGAGUAACCUAGGGUCCAAUGACUCCAUGCAUGGCAGUCCAUGUGUACAUAAUUAGCUCCUCAGAUGUAAGUGGAAGGGAAGCUAUAUACAUUAUAUGUUUAAAUGAAAUUAACAACAGGAUUAGAUAUGGAGGAGAUCCUAUAGCUACAGUAUAUAUAAAU